rnacentral:rRNA from 1 species
UACAGGGGGUGCAAACGUUGCUCGGAAUCAUUGGGCGUAAAGCGCACGUAGGCGGUCUGUUAUGUCGGAUGUGAAAGCCCUUGGCUUAACUGAGGAAGUGCAUCCGAAACUGGCAGGCUAGAGUACUAAAGAGGGUCGCGGAAUUCCCGGUGUAGAGGUGAAAUUCGUAGAUAUCGGGAGGAACACCGGUGGCGAAGGCGGCGACCUGGGUAGAUACUGACGCUGAGGCGCGAAGGCCAGGGGAGCAAACGGG